rnacentral:rRNA from 1 species
AUGUCCACGGCGGCCGGUGAUCUCCCGGCGGCGUCGACGAGGAGCGAGAGGCGGAAGGAGCGGAAGAAGGAGCGCCGACGGCGCGCGCGCAGGGAGGCGGCGGCGGCCGCGCGGGCCGCAGCAGAGGCGCUCGCCGCCGACCCGGAGGAGGGGCGCCGCCUCCGGGAGCUCGAGGAGGCCGAGGCCGCCGCGUCCGACCGCGCGCGCCGCGCCUUCGAGGACGCCGAGCGCCGCUGGCUUGAGAAGGCCGCCGAGCGUGCCGCCGAGGAGGCAGCCGCGGCGGCUGCGGAAGAAGAGGCGAGGGCCGCCGAGGCUUCCACACGCGACAAGUAUAACGAUGACCACAGAGACGAGACAGAAGACGAUGGGGAAUGGGAGUAUGUUGAAGAUGGACCAGCGGAGAUCAUAUGGCAAGGAAACGAGAUCAUUGUGAAGAAGAAAAAGAUCAAAAUACCAAAGAAGACAGAGGAUAAACCACUAAGUCAAGAGGAAGAGAGACCUACAUCAAAUCCGCUGCCACCUCAGUCUGUAGCUGUUGCUUCUCAGAGGAGAGAACCUUCCUUGUCUGCUCGAGAACUACUUGAGAAAGUUGCUCAAGAGACUCCAAAUUUCGGAACUGAACAGGAUAAGGCCCAUUGCCCAUUUUACCUCAAGACAGCAGCUUGCCGCUUUGGAGUUCGCUGCAGCAGAGUUCAUUUCUACCCUGACAAAUCAUGCACAUUGCUCAUGAAAAACAUGUAUAAUGGUCCGGGCCUUGUUUUGGAACAAGAUGAAGGGCUUGAGUUUACAGACGAAGAGAUUGAACAGAGCUAUGAAGAAUUUUAUGAAGACGUGCACACAGAAUUUCUGAAAUUUGGUGAACUUGUUAACUUCAAGGUUUGUAGAAAUGGAUCAUUCCAUCUUCGAGGAAAUGUCUAUGUGCAUUAUAAAGCCUUGGAUUCAGCUCUUCUUGCCUACAACAGCAUGAAUGGUCGAUAUUUUGCCGGGAAGCAGAUAACAUGUGAGUUUGUUGCUUUGACGAAAUGGAAGUCAGCGAUCUGUGGUGAGUACAUGAGGUCAAGAUUCAAGACAUGUUCACAUGGAGUUGCUUGUAAUUUCAUCCAUUGCUUUCGUAACCCUGGUGGAGAUUAUGAGUGGGCUGAUUGGGACAAUCCUCCACCUAAAUACUGGACUCGGAAGAUGGCUGCUCUGUUUGGUCCCUCAGAUGAUGCUAUUUUUGACAAGGCGAGUGAUACCCCAGAUUUUGAACGGUUACACAGUUCAGAUAGGAAGAGACUCAGAAGUUCUGAUGACAGGUAUAUUUCAAGUAGACAUGGGGAUGGAGGUGCACAUAAACGGCAUUCAUCAAGAGUUUUUUCACAUUCGAAGCAAGAGCAGAGCAACCAUAUCAUGAAACAUGGGCAUACUCGACAUAGAAGAGAAGCAUCUGCAGCAAAUGAGCAACGAGGCCAAGAGAUUGAAGAUGAUACUGGCAGAUACUGUUCGCCCAUGGAAAAUGAAAGAGUGUCCCAAGCACAUAAGCAUGAAGAGAAACAUAGAGACGGCCAUGGCGAUGGAGCACGUGGAUACAAUGGUAAAACCAAGUCCAGGAAGCACAGAUCUGAACGGCGCGAAAGUCUGGAGUCUGGAUGUUCUGAUUGGCCUUCAGAAUUUGCUGAUGCAGGCACGAGCAGAAGUCCUUCAGGCAGCAAGUCCACCAACAGGCAAUCCUCGGAUGAUCCCAAUCUUGAAAGGGGCUACUCCACUGCGGACAAAUCAUCGGGGAAAGCGCACAUUGCCAAAAGUAGCUCGAGACAUUACGUUGAAGAUGACUCUUAUGGCGAGAAAGUUAGUGGAAGAGGCAAAUCUGGAAAGCACAGUGAUCGUUGUGAUGACCCCGAUGAUAGAUGGCUAGCAACAAAUAGUGAUGUUGAUUCAGAUGCAGAAGCUCAAUUCCUGAGGUCAAGCAGUGGAGUUGGUAAAGGUGGAAGGAAUGAUAAUGCUCCUCCUGAUGAGGAUGAUCAUUAUCAAAGGUCCAGCAGCAGGUCUGCUAGGUCAAGAGCGAAGGAUGACAAGAGCAGUAGGAAGAGGAAGAAGCAUCACAGUGAAAUCAGGAAGAAUAGCGACAGCGAUGAUGGCCCCUCGGACUCUAGUAACAUUAGGGAUUUGAGCUCGCAUGCGUGGAGGAGUCGAUCAAGAAGCAGUGAGGAGGAUCUCUCAUUGCACAGGCGGAGGAAGGGUCGCCGUGGUCAUGAUUCAUGA